GAGACAGAAAGCCCUCCUGUUCCCACGUUGGAUCAGCCUAGCAUGGCCAGAGAGGUCACAGCCACAUUCCUGCUGCUGCUCAGUCCAGUUUUGGCGAAUCAGGUCACUCAGCUCACAUCCAUGGAAGCAACUGAAGGCCACGAUGUGAAUCUCCAAUGCAACCACAGCAGUUUGACUUCUUCAACCAUCUCCUGGUAUCAGCAAAUCCUCAACCAGGCACCGGAACUCGUGCUGAGCGGCUACUCCAGUACCAGAAGUGCCAAGGCCAAGUUAACCAUCCAGGAAGACAGAAAGUCCAAUAUCCUGACACUGCACAACGUCCAGGACAGAGAUUCUGCUGUGUACUACUGUGCUCUGGAUGGGUGUAAUUCUGGAAAUCAGGUGAUAUUUGGGAAAGGAACGAGUCUAACUGUAAAACCAAAUGUCACCAACCCUCAGCCAAGAAUGUACCGUCUGAAAAAACCCCAAGUGAACGACUUGUCCAUUUGCCUGUUCACUGAUUUCGGCAAUGACGAAGUUAAUAUGACGGGAAUACGGAAUAUCAUGCGGGCUCCCAGCGUGGUGGAUGUGAAGAGACUGGAAUCCAAGAGUCUCGGCAUUGUGGCGUGGGACAACAGUCUGGAUUGGGACUGCCAAGCACAGGCUUCCGAGGCAAUCUACAGCCUGUCCAACAGCUCAGGAAAAGUGUGCAACGCCAAAGUUGUGACCGAGAACUUCUCAUCAGACCCAUACCUGAACUCCAGAAACUUGGCCAUGAUUUUCCUCCGCGUCGUCUUCGUGAAGACCAUGGGCUUCAACCUGCUCAUGACCCUGAAACUGUGGUCAAGUUGAAGUUCUGCCCCCUCCAACUCCUUCCUUGCUGUUGAACAAGAGGAGAAAACACACCCAUUGACAGUCAUCAGAGUGGAAGCCCUUCCAUUCCACUCCGAACAUCCCACAAGGACCACGCCCAGCACCCAAGGACACCUGAACUUGAAAGCAUCCCCCCGCUUCCCUUCCUGUUGUCGUUUCCAACAUCAAUCCGGGGCCAGGAGGACUGGAAACGCACACCCGCAACACCCCCAGCUAUAACGAAACCCCACGUCUAAGAACACCCCACAGUAAUGCGAUGGGGGGCAUCUGUCGUCUCCUUCUGCCCUAGGACUGUUGACCUUCAACCUUCCAGCUGUAACUAAGCACUGCUAAAGAGUUUUUUAUUCUUAAUAGAAUUGGGAAAGGAAGCCAUUGCACUUUCUCUUAAGUUUUGCAAAAAGAUUGUAUCCUUAGCCAUGCCCGCUGGAUUCAAGCAGUCUUUGACUUCUCUCCGCCGCCUCGAGAGUUAUACUUCAUUAAAAACCUUUCUGUCCCGCA